rnacentral:rRNA from 1 species
UACGUAGGGUGCAAGCGUUAAUCGGAAUUACUGGGCGUAAAGCGCACGUAGGCGGUUAGUUAAGUUGGAUGUGAAAGCCCCGGGCUCAACCUGGGAAUUGCAUUUGAAACUGGGAAACUAGAGUGUGUGAGAGGGGGGUAGAAUUCCAAGUGUAGCGGUGAAAUGCGUAGAGAUUUGGAGGAAUACCAGUGGCGAAGGCGGCCCCCUGGCACAACACUGACGCUCAGGUGCGAAAGCGUGGGGAGCAAACAGG